UUCACUUUUUUGCAUGUUCCAGUAGUGUUACUAGGAAUCAAAACAAAUGUUUACCAAUUUCAUAUGCACCAAAAAGUCAUUAAUGGAGCCGACGGAGAGCACUGGUCAGAGUGUAGGAUCGACUACUCCAAUUGCACUUGAAGAUGACGCCAAUAGCAGUUUCAUGGUACAUAAUUUGGUGAAUCAAAUAAUUGUGUCUUUUUUUACCAUAUCAUUUAUUUAUUUAUCCUUCCUAUUUAUUUUUCUUAUUUGGAAGGAUGCAAAUCAGUCGGCUUCAUGUGGUGGAGAUAGUUAAAGUACACCAAGGAAAACAAGUAGCAUACCGAUCCGUGCAAGUAUUGUUUGAUUUUCAGUAUAGAAGUGCCAAAUUUAACUUACAAAUGAUAGUUCUAAUGUAAUUUUGCAGGGUUCAGUAUACGUGGCUGAGUGUGACAAAAGCUUGGAGCCGGCAAUUGGCAUGGUCGUUGAUAAAUGGGAGACCGGCGAGAUGUUCUACACACGGUGAGAUGUUCUACACAUGAUCAGGAGAAUUAGAUGGCGCAACAGACAUGCAGGUUAUUUGGCAUCACAGAAGUGUUUAUGGUUUCACAUAUUUAAUGUUGUACGAUCUUUUGAGAGGGUUUAUUAGGUUGUUGUAAUUCUUGAUGUUAUCAUGUAGAUGUGCAUUUCUGCCAGCAUAGGAUGGCGUACAAGGAGAAUAUGAAGUCACCAAGUGAUCUGUAGUGAAGCUGUUUGGUUUAAUUAUAUAAAUUAGUGAACUAAAUAAUACGCUUGUAAAUAUAUGUAUAUUAAGGUCAUGUUAAUUCCUAUAUCAAGAUGGCAGCAUAUGAUGCACCUUUAUUUGGUGAACUGCUUCUGAUCCAGCGAUCUUUUGAUGCUAUGAAUGAUUUUUGGCAAUUUGCCAUCCCUCACAAUUUGCUAGCUUGUACUAUUGUUUAUUGAGAUGGAUUUUUUGUCAAGAUUUCUGCUAAAUAUUUUGAUCAUCAAAAAUUUCAG
rnacentral:lncRNA from 1 species